UCGGUGGUGGGUCCGACGGAGCAGAGCCUGGGGUCUCCCAUGGGCAAUGCAUCGGCAAGGUUGUUGCCUACCAGCUCGGCGCACCCAUGUGGCCAGCACUCAUCCUCCAGCUCUGAGUUCCUUCACAUGCGUUAUCCGUGUACGUGUGUUUUCUUCCUGAUUCCUGCUCGUUCAUGGGUUUCUUAUUUCUUUCUUAUUUUUUUCGUUACCAAUUAACCUUUCUUGUUUUUUUUGCCCCAGCUCCUCCAUCUAUUUUUGGAUUGCGCCCCGAAGUUAUGCUUAGAUGGUUAUGCUUGUUGCAAACUAUUUAUUUUCCUUCCUUCC
rnacentral:lncRNA from 1 species